AAAAAUAUUAAAUUUGAGAGCUGCUUGUUUUUUAAAUUUUCAAAAUUCCGAAUAAUUCCAUUAAUACUUUCAGAAAUGAGUGUACACUUGGUAUAGCUGCAGUAUACAUUUGUGGUUUAUAAUUUAAAUUGAUAUGAUAAGUGAUAAGAUAAUAUUUUGGAGGGCUAUAAUAUAUUCAAUAUUGUUGGAAUGCAAAUUUAUUGUUUAACUUAAUAAAGUACUUGGUCAUUUUUUCGUAAUUGUUAUAUUUCAUUAUAAAUUAUAUUCUUAGAUGUGCUGGUAUUUGUUUUACAAUAAAAAAUUGUAUGACAGACAUAUUUUAUCUUCAAGAACACAGACAAAAUUUAAGACAAUUCUCAUGCAUAAAAGCCAAACUCCAAAAAAAAAUUAGAACGAAGGCAGUUUAGCUCCGAAGCAAUUUUGGGAAUUUUUUUUCAAAAUGUGUGAGUUUUUGUCCCUGACAUUUUAAUGUAACCAGAAGGUAUUAUACUUACUUAUUAUGUUGUAGUGUUGGAUGGGAGUAACUAUGUAAAAUAGGCCUGUCCAGCAAUUAAUUAUAAUUGUACCAUUGUUCUCAAUUUGUUGAAAUACCUAAAUUUAUGAAAAUUUUCUUUUCAAUAAUCACUUGGGAGCUCAACUGCAUACGUCCAAAAAUGUUCAAAAUAAUAAUUGUUUUUAAAGUUUAAGUUAAAUUUAUGAUGAUGCAGUAAAACAUGAAAAACCGUACUUAACUGUAAAUAUUAAUAUAGAAAAUAGAACUUUACAAUGUACACAAUAUUUAAAUAACACAAUAUAGUUUCAAGCAAUACUAAAAAUCAAACAUUUAACCCUUGGAUAAGGAUAGCUACCAUUUUAUUGGUGACAAUAAUAAUACCCAAGUCAGCUAUGUAGCUGUUUUAUAUAUCUGUGAAAAAAAUAUAGUCUAUCUAGCUUUCCCAUCUCAGAACACAGGUAUUACAUUAU